GACAGAGGGUGCAAACGUUGUUCGGAAUUACUGGGCGUAAAGGGCGCGUAGGCGGCCUUCUAAGUCGGACGUGAAAUCCCUCGGCUCAACCGAGGAACUGCGUCCGAUACUGAAAGGCUUGAAUCCGGGAGAGGGAUGUGGAAUUCCAGGUGUAGCGGUGAAAUGCGUAGAUAUCUGGAGGAACACCGGUGGCGAAGGCGACAUCCUGGACCGGUAUUGACGCUGAGGCGCGAAAGCCAGGGGAGCAAACAGG
rnacentral:rRNA from 1 species